GGGGCUGGAUUGGAAUUGACAACAAGAUUAAUAUAUAAGUAAGCAUAUCGUGAAAAGUAAUGUAAUCACGUAAAUAUCAUUACAAAUGAUAACCGGCAAAAAAAAUUAUGCUCUUGCGGCUUGAUCAAUAACUUUGAAUUCGAAUGCAAGAUUUGUUUAUUAAAAAUAAAUUUAAUUUGAAAGAUUGAGGUUCUAAAUCUUUCUUUAAUUGUUUAGAACUUUCUUCUAAGAAAGAGUUUCUUAUCACUAAUCUUAUGUGAAAUUUGCUCUUUGAUAAGAUAAAUAUGUAGAAAACUUAUAAUAUUACUUGUUUGGACACGGGUUCGAAUCCCGUCAGCUCCAC
rnacentral:tmRNA from 1 species